GACGGAGGGGGCAAGCGUUGUUCGGAAUUACUGGGCGUAAAGGGCUCGUAGGUGGCCAACUAAGUCAGACGUGAAAUCCCUCGGCUUAACCGGGGAACUGCGUCUGAUACUGGAUGGCUUGAGUUUGGGAGAGGGACGCGGAAUUCCAGGUGUAGCGGUGAAAUGCGUAGAUAUCUGGAGGAACACCGGUGGCGAAGGCGGCGUCCUGGACCAGCACUGACACUGAUGAGCGAAAGCCAGGGGAGA
rnacentral:rRNA from 1 species